GACGAACGCUGGCGGCGUGCUUAACACAUGCAAGUCGAACGGAAAGGCCCUGCUUUUGUGGGGUGCUCGAGUGGCGAACGGGUGAGUAACACGUGAGUAACCUGCCCUUGACUUUGGGAUAACUUCAGGAAACUGGGGCUAAUACCGGAUAGGAGCUCCUGCUGCAUGGUGGGGGUUGGAAAGUUUCUGCGGUUGGGGAUGGACUCGCGGCUUAUCAGCUUGUUGGUGGGGUAGUGGCUUACCAAGGCUUUGACGGGUAGCCGGCCUGAGAGGGUGACCGGCCACAUAGGGACUGAGAUACGGCCCAGACUCAUACGGGAGGAAGAAGGGGGGAAUAUUGAAAAAUGGGCGGAAGACUGAUGCAGGAAGGCCGCGUGCGGGAUGAAGGCCUUCGGGUUGUAAACCGCUGUCGCCUGUGACGAAGCGUGAGUGACGAUAAUGGGUAAAGAAGCACAGGAUAACUACGUG
rnacentral:rRNA from 1 species